GACGAGUGGCGAACGGGUGAGUUAUGUAUCGGAACGUACCUUUCAGUGGGGAUAACGUAGCGAAAGUUACGCUAAUACCGCAUAUUCUGUGAGCAGGAAAGCAGGGGAUCGCAAGACCUUGCGCUGAUUGAGCGGCCGAUAUCAGAUUAGCUAGUUGGUGAGGUAAAGGCUCACCAAGGCGACGAUCUGUAGCGGGUCUGAGAGGAUGAUCCGCCACACUGGAACUGAGACACGGUCCAGACUCCUACGGGAGGCAGCAGUGGGAAUUUUGGACAAUGGGGGCAACCCUGAUCCAGCCAUGCCGCGUGAGUGAAGAAGGCCUUCGGGUUGUAAAGCUCUUUCGGCCGGGAAGAAAUCGUAUGGGUUAAUACCCUGUGCGGAUGACGGUACCGGCAUAAGAAGCACCGGCUAACUACGUG
rnacentral:rRNA from 1 species